UACGUAGGGGGCAAGCGUUGUCCGGAUUUAUUGGCGUAAAGAGCGUGUAGGCGGCCAGAUAGGUCUGUUGUGAAAACUCGAGGCUCAACCUCGAGACGCCGAUGGAAACCAUCUGGCUAGAGUCCGGAAGAGGAGAGUGGAAUUCCUGGUGUAGCGGUGAAAUGCGCAGAUAUCAGGAAGAACACCCGUGGCUAAGGCGGCUCUCUAGUACGGUACUGACGCUGAGACGCGAAAGCGUGGGGAGCGAAC
rnacentral:rRNA from 1 species